AUGCUUUCUCAUGCUGCCAGGCUUGAAUUGAUUCGCUCGGUUUUCUCUGCAAUUCCAGUUUAUUAUAUGGCUAACAUCUUGUUCACAAAGAAAUUCAUUGCUAAGCUUACUGCUAUCAUUAGGAACUUUUGGUGGACAGGUGUUCGGGAGAAUGAUUCUAAAAAGAGUAUUUGUCUUAGAGCAUGCAAGGAUAUUUGCAAUUCUAAAGAAGGUGGUCUAGGCAUUAGGAAUUUAAAGGCUAUCAAUGAGAGUCUUCUUCUUGCUGCUGCUUGGAGGAUAGCCAAAUCCCCUUCUUCUCACUUGUACUUAGUGCUUAAGGCUAAGUACUUUCAUGAUUCUUCUAUUUGGACUGCUAAUGUUUCUUCUCCUAAAUCAGCUUUCUGGACUUCUAUUUUGAAAAUGUUACCUAAAUUGAAAGCUCAUUCUUUUUAUCAAUUAACUCAAGGUAAUAUUUCAAUUUGGAGCACACCUUGGUGCACUCUUUGGAACUCCAUCCGUGGUCACCUUAUUACACAAGAACCUGGCUUUAGAUAUCCCUUUUUAGUUACAGAUCUUUGGCUCCCCGGACAAAAAGUUUGGAAUAAUGAGCUAGUUUACUUACUUUUCCAACAACCUAUGGCCUCUGUUAUUGUCCAAACUGAUAUUAUUGAUGAUGAUGGUCCAGAUUUGCUUUAUUGGGAUCUCACUCCUGAUGGCAUUUGUUCUUCCAAAUCUGCUUAUAAGCUUUGUUUGCAGGAAAUUCAUGCUAAUCCCAGGAAUGCGCCUUCUGUACUAUCUUUGGAAUUGAAGGACCUUCUCAAAUUGGUUUGGAAACAAAAGAACUUGCUUCCUAGGGUGCAAACCUUUGCCUGGAGAUUGCUUAGGAAGGCUUUACCUACAGGUUUGCGUGCUGGUCAUUUUUCCAUCCAUAUCUCUCAAAAUUGUUGUAGGUGUGGCCAGCAGGAGAAUGAACUUCAUUAA
rnacentral:rRNA from 1 species